rnacentral:rRNA from 1 species
CGCUGGCGGCGUGCCUAACACAUGCAAGUCGAACGAGAAAGGCUCCUUCGGGAGCCCGGUACAGUGGCGCACGGGUGAGUAACACGUGGGUAAUCUGCCCUCGAGUGGGGAAUAACCCAGGGAAACUUGGGCUAAUACCGCAUAACAUCCCGGCUCCCUCGGGAAUCGGGAUCAAAGCUGGGGAUCGCAAGACCUGGCGCUUGAGGAAGAGCCUGCGCCUGAUUAGUUUGUUGGUAGGGUAACGGCCUACCAAGGCGACGAUCAGUANCCGGCCUGAGAGGGUGAUCGGCCACACUGGAACUGAGACACGGUCCAGACUCCUACGGGAGGCAGCAGUGAGGAAUUUUGCGCAAUGGGCGAAAGCCUGACGCAGCAACGCCGCGUGGAUGAUGAAGGCCUUCGGGUCGUAAAAUCCUGUCAAGUGGGAAGAAAUCCGACCGGCGAAUAGCCGAGCGGAUUGACUGUACCACUGGA